GAUGAAGAACGUAGCGAAAUGCGAUAAGUAAUGUGAAUUGCAGAAUUCAGUGAAUCAUCGAAUCUUUGAACGCACAUUGCGCCCGCCAGUAUUCUGGCGGGCAUGCCUGUUCGAGCGUCAUUUCAACCAUCAAGCCCCAGGCUUGUGUUGGGGACCUGCGGCUGCCGCAGGCCCUGAAAACCAGUGGCGGGCUCGCUGUCACACCGGGCGUAGUAGAUUUUAUCUCGCUCAGGGCNNNNNGCGGGUUCCGGCCGUUAAAAAGCCUUUUUUACCCAAGGUUGACCUCGGAUCAGGUAGGAAGACUCGCUGAACUUAAGCAUAUCAAUAAGCGGAGGA
rnacentral:misc_RNA from 1 species